rnacentral:misc_RNA from 1 species
UCCGGCUUAACGCCGGCAGUCUCCUUAGAGUGCCCAACUGAAUGGUGGCAACUAAGGACGAGGGUUGCGCUCGUUGCGGGACUUAACCCAACACCCCACGGCACGAGCUGACGACAGCCAUGCAGCACCUGUGCUAGCUCCCCGAAGGGUCCCUCCCCUUUCGGUUCGGUACUACUAGCAUGUCAAGCCCUGGUAAGGUUCUUCGCGUUGCAUCGAAUUAAACCACACGCUCCGCCGCUUGUGCGGGCCCCCGUCAAUUCCUUUGAGUUUUAGCCUUGCGGCCGUACUCCCCAGGCGGGACACUUAAUGCGUUAGCUACGGCACGGAGGGAGUCGACACCCCCCACACCUAGUGCCCAUCGUUUACGGCGUGGACUAC